rnacentral:misc_RNA from 1 species
GCCCGACUUGAGCGGAGCUCAUUUUUUGCUGAGGAUUCUAGUGAUGGCAAAAAUAGCGGGAGCGGAAGGCGGAAAAGCUG